rnacentral:rRNA from 1 species
UACGUAGGGUGCGAGCGUUGUCCGGAAUUACUGGGCGUAAAGGGCUCGUGGGCGGCCAACUAAGUCGGAUGUGAAAUCCCCAGGCUUAACCUGGGAACUGCAUCCGAUACUGGAUGGCUUGAAUCCGGGAGAGGGAUGCGGAAUUCCAGGUGUAGCGGUGAAAUGCGUAGAUAUCUGGAGGAACACCGGUGGCGAAGGCGGCAUCCUGGACCGGCAUUGACGCUGAUGAGCGAAAGCCAGGGGAGCAAACGGG